GCCUGGGUGGCUCAGCCAGUUAAGCAUUUGACUUUGGCUCAGGUCAGGAUCUCACGGUUCGUGGGUUUGAGCCCCACAUCAGGCU
rnacentral:tRNA from 1 species